rnacentral:rRNA from 1 species
AGUGGCGAACGGGUGAGUAACGCGUAGGCGAACCUGCCCUCCGGCCGGGGACGAACACUCCGAAAGGGGUGCUAAUACCGGAUACGAAGUCUGUGCCGCAUGGUACGGAUUUGAAAGAUGGCCUCUAUUUAUAAGCUAUCGCCGGGGGAUGGGCCUGCGUCCGAUUAGCUGGUUGGUGGGGUAACGGCCUACCAAGGCGACGAUCGGUAGCCGGUCUGAGAGGAUGAACGGCCACAUUGGGACUGAGACACGGCCCAGACUCCUACGGGAGGCAGCAGUGGGGAAUCUUCCGCAAUGGGCGCAAGCCUGACGGAGCAACGCCGCGUGAGUGAGGAAGUUCUUCGGAACGUAAAGCUCUGUUGUUCCUGACGAACCUCCCCUCUAUCAACAACGGAGGGGACUGACGGUAGGGAACGAGGAAGCCACGGCUAACUACGUGCCAGCAGCGGC